GACGAACGCUGGCGGCGUGCUUAACACAUGCAAGUCGAGCGGGAUCCAACCGGUGGCAACACCGGGGAAGAUCUAGCGGCGAACGGGUGAGUAACACGUGAGCAACCUGCCCCGAAGACUGGGAUAACACCGGGAAACCGGUGCUAAUACCGGAUGUCGUCAUUAGGCCGCAUGACCUGAUGAUGAAAGGAUUCAUCGCUUCGGGAGGGGCUCGCGGGCUAUCAGCUUGNGGUGGGGUAACGGCCUACCAAGGCGACGACGGCUAGCUGGUCUGAGAGGACGACCAGCCACACUGGGACUGAGACACGGCCCAGACUCCUACGGGAGGCAGCAGUGGGGAAUCUUGCGCAAUGGGCGAAAGCCUGACGCAGCAACCGCCGCGUGGGGGAUGAAUGCCCUCGGGUUGUAAACCCCUUUCAGCAGGGACGAAAUUGACGGUACCUGCAGAA
rnacentral:rRNA from 1 species